CUGCAGGCUGACUCCCUGGACCCUUCUUUGUCCUCCGAGAGCACCACGAGAAAAGUCGACUUGGACGCCUGAAAUCCUGCCACGUGCCCUCUCGCCGUGGCCCUGGUGCCACCGCCACCACUAUGCUUCUAGCGGGGUUUCCCUCUCUGAUCUUGAACCCUGAGACGACUCCUCAAGAUGGCUCCCAAGGGAAGCCCCUCACGAAGCUGCCCUCUAGACCUUCUGUUGGCGUCCCUGGUGCUAAAAGGAACCUUCCGGAAUGUUCCGGCUCUGCCCCCUCCCCCAUACUUGCUGACCUCACCAAGCUUCUCUGGCAGCAUCAAGGUUCUCAUUCCAUGUUUGUUCUUGACAGCAGGUUUCCCGGGGCUUGGCACCUCCCUGGCUCUCCCUGCACCCUUGGGUGUUCUCUAGUCAGAGCUACGUGACACUGUUCCAAGCAGCAGAGACCCUGCAUCUGGAAGCCCACCCGGGUCGACCCCAGCCAGGGCACAGAGGUGGUGCAGGGAAGCAGCCCAGCUUCCACCGGGGCCACCUCUGCCACUCCACUCUGGCCCGCCUCAGAGUCAGAAUGCCUGCGCCUGUUUCCCACCUCCACACCAGGAGCAGCACCGGGCACCCACAGCUCUCCCCGGUGGGGCAGAGGCACCCACGGCUCUCCCCUGGUAGGGCCAAGGCACCCACGGGCUCUCCCCUGCCAUCUAGGUCUGCUGCUGCAGUUCACUACACGAACCUAGAGAGGGCCACUGAGCUGCCUGAAGACGCACAGCACAUCCAAGGCGUAUCAGGCCUCAGGCCUCCUCAUCGGUUUCUCUGCUGUGAGGGACAGGGACAGGGCGCCUGGGCGGCACAGGCCUGGAUGGAAGAUCCGUGCAGAUGCUUCUAGUCCCCGUCUGGCCUCCGACUCGCUGUGAGACGCUCCAAGGCCCAGCUUCCUGAACUCUCGGACCCAAACGAGCCUGUAUCACCCUUAGCUCUGGCUUGAGCUAGACUGUGCAGUGCGUACAGGUAGAGACCCCGUCCAUUCUGUCUCCAGCCCCCGUUUUUCCACCUGUAAAAUGGCCUCGCUACCUGACAGAGGGUACUGAGGAUUUAUGUGACGUAGCAAACAGGAAGAAAGCUACCGAGCUGGAAACAAAUGACAAACGCUGUGUGCUGACUCUGUUUCACCUGCUUCCAGCAAGCACAGGUAGGUGCGCACACCCAGGCAAGUGCAAAAACACUCAUGCACGCACGCACACAGAGUACAUCCUAGUGGGGACAACAGGGACUGGUCCCCGCCAAGGGAGAAGUGCCCCAGAACUACUGGGCGAGCUGGCAGUAUCCGAAUAGGCAUAUCUUGUCAUAAACACAAGACAAAUACUUUUCCUGGGUUGGGGGUGUGGCUCAGCAGCUGAACCUCUGCCUACGCUGCCAGCAUCCCACAUCAGAGCACUAGUUUGAUUUCCUUCUGUUCCGCUUCCGAUCCUGCUCCCUGCUAAUGCACCUGGGAAAGCAGUGAAGGAGGCCCGAGUGCUUGGGCCCCUGCACCCACCUGGGAGACCCGGACGGAGCGCCCAGCACCUGGCACCACCCGCCCACAACAUCCUUUCCUACGGACACUGGGAUCUGAUGAAUCGAGGUGUGACUGUACCACGGCAAUCAGCCACUGGCAGCCAAAGGGUCACCUUGUUCGGGGAUUGUCCCCCGAGCGCUCUGCCAGCAGAGCCAACCUUGUGGGGCCCCGG